GACGAACGCUGGCGGCGUGCUUAACACAUGCAAGUCGAACGAAGAGCGAUGGAAGCUUGCUUCUCUCAAUCUUAGUGGCGAACGGGUGAGUAACGCGUAAUCAACCUGCCCUUCAGAGGGGGACAACAGUUGGAAACGACUGCUAAUACCGCAUACGAUCUAAUCUCGGCAUCGAGGAUAGAUGAAAGGUGGCCUCUACAUGUAAGCUAUCACUGUAGGAGGGGAUUGCGUCUGAUUAGCUAGUUGGAGGGGUAACGGCCCACCAAGGCGAUGAUCAGUAGCCGGUCUGAGAGGAUGAACGGCCACAUUGGGACUGAGACACGGCCCAGACUCCUACGGGAGGCAGCAGUGGGGAAUCUUCCGCAAUGGACGAAAGUCUGACGGAGCAACGCCGCGUGAGUGAUGACGGCCUUCGGGUUGUAAAGCUCUGUUAAUCGGGACGAAAGGCCUUCUUGCGAAUAGUGAGAAGGAUUGACGGUACCGGAAGAGAAAGCCACGGCUAACUACGUG
rnacentral:rRNA from 1 species